rnacentral:rRNA from 1 species
GACGAACGCUGGCGGCGUGCUUAACACAUGCAAGUCGAACGGAAAGGCCCUGCUUUUGUGGGGUGCUCGAGUGGCGAACGGGUGAGUAACAUGUGAGUAACCUGCCCUUGACUUUGGGAUAACUUCUGGAAACUGGGGCUAAUACCGGAUAGGAGCUCCUGCUGCAUGGUGGGGGUUGGAAAGUUUCGGCGGUUGGGGAUGGACUCGCGGCUUAUCAGCUUGUUGGUGGGGUAGUGGCUUACCAAGGCUUUGACGGGUAGCCGGCCUGAGAGGGUGACCGGCCACAUUGGGACUGAGAUACGGCCCAGACUCCUACGGGAGGCAGCAGUGGGGAAUAUUGCACAAUGGGCGGAAGCCUGAUGCAGCAACGCCGCGUGCGGGAUGACGGCCUUCGGGUUGUAAACCGCUUUCGCCUGUGACGAAGCGUGAGUGACGGUAAUGGGUAAAGAAGCACCGGCUAACUACGUG